ensembl:lncRNA NDUFA6-DT NDUFA6 divergent transcript
GCGCCUGGGCUGCGGUGGGGCUUGUCCUGCCGCCUGGCGGCUUUCUGCAGGGCCAGGAUAUACUUACUUUUCUGUAAACCAACUCUUCCUUAGCGCAGGAGAGGUGUCAAAGAGCUGGCGCGUCUCCAGAGCCCCGGGAGGAAGGCUGUAACGGCAGCCCCAUCGUAGACAGGGACAUUCGCAUCCCGAGCCCUGGAUCUCUGAAAACCAGCCCAGAAUUUGGAAGCUGGAAGGAACUUUAGAUCGUCCAUUCUGAGUGUCUCUCUUCGCUGGCGUUUUCCCACUGAGGUUAUGUAAACAUGAAGAGGAGCCUACAAGUGUCAAGGAAAAAACGACAGCUAACCACAGGGCAGGCCAUGGGCAAGAUAUCUCAGUGUUCUCCGCUCUCAUAGGUCAGAGACUAAAAGUUCUUCUGAAGAGCAGGCAAUGUUGGAUGGGGGGAAGCAAAUGGAGGAGCGAGCCACUCCUGAAUUGACUAAAAGGCUGGAGUGCAGUGGCACGAUCACAGUUCACUGCAGCUUUGUUCCUGGACUCAAGUGAUCCUCCCACCUCAGCCUCCCAAGCAGCUGGAACUACAGGUCACGACCCCCAGGAGACCUGGAGGACUGAAUGCUGCUGCCCCCAAGGAGGAGGCUGCCGUCUUAUCCCAGGAGGGAGAGCAGAACCUGCCUGAUCUCACUGCUGGAUCCCUCUUCUUCCUGCCAGGAAAAUAAAAAGGUUCAAAAGGAAGUUGCUGCGUAUCCAUCUGAGGCCUCUGAGGACAGCAAAGAGCAAAGGCCCUGGGACCGGGUCUACGUGCCCAUGACAGAGCUCUGGCUGGACUGGUUCUGAGC